GAUGAACGCUAGCUACAGGCUUAACACAUGCAAGUCGAGGGGUAACGAGAGGGAAGCUUGCUUUCCUUGUCGACGACCGGCGCACGGGUGAGUAACGCGUAUCCAACCUGCCCCCAACUAGGGAAUAACCUUGCGAAAGUAAGACUAAUACCCUAUAAUUUCCUCAGAUGUCAUCUGACGAGGAAUAAAGAUUUAUCGGUUGUGGAUGGGGAUGCGUCUGAUUAGCUUGUUGGCGGGGUAACGGCCCACCAAGGCAACGAUCAGUAGGGGUUCUGAGGAGAAGGUACCCCACAUUGGAGCUGAGACACGGUCCAAACGCCUACGGGAGGGAGCGGUGAGGAAUAUUGGUCAAUGGGCGGAAGCCUGAACCAGCCAAGUAGCGUGCAGGAUGACGGCCCUAUGGGUUGUAAACUGCUUUUAUACAGGAAUAAAGUUAGCCACGUGUGGUUAUUUGUAGGUACUGUAUGAAUAAGGACCGGCUAAUUCCGUGCCAGCCGCCGCCGUAA
rnacentral:rRNA from 1 species